rnacentral:lncRNA from 1 species
UACAGGAUUGUGUCUCUUGGGUGAUUAUAGCUAUGUAAAAAAUGUAUGAAACAAAGAACUCUGUGCCUGACAUCUGCAAAGCCUGUCCUAUGCCUAACUGUUCUUUGAAUCAUUACUUUAAAAUACAGUAAUUUAGGCAUAAUCCAGUGUAUAUACUUUAUGUCUAGGAGGAAAAAUUCAAACGUGUUUGAAGUUGUAUAUGAGAUUCUUUUCUUCUUCCAGAUUAGGCUUUUAAAUUCAAACAUAGAUUUAAUAAAUCUGACUUGGUUCAGCAAUACAGUUGGAACAAUUGAACACAUUUGUAUGUGAGGAUGGAGGAGGGAAGAAUGAAAAGGAGGGAUUGGGAAGGGGAUGGGGACAAAGUUCAUAGAAGCACAGUGGCUAGACCUGUAACUCAUGGCAGUGGCCAGCUAUUUGUCCAAUGAGCAGGAAAUGGCCUCUAAAGUUUCUCCAUUGUGUCUAUGACCUUGCAUUUCAGCAUCUGAAAAGAAAACACAAGAGGUUCGGUUGGUGCAAUGUUCCUUUCUUCCCAGGACUUUCUGGUCUUCAAGGCUUUCUCAUGAGACAGAAGACUGAUGGAUGUAGAAGUUUCUAAGAGGACAGUUACGCUGCCAUGUUUUGAAGCAGGAAGACGUUACCACUUCUCAAAGGUCUUUAAUUGCCUGACCACUGCUUCUCUUUGGAAGGCUGUCAGGGUGAUGGAAUCUCAGAUCACAGCACAGAUAAAAUGGACAAAGAAAGAAAGAUACAAGAAGGAUGUAAAAAUGUCCAUAAUGAACUCAUGUAUCUUGCGGAAACCUCUAAUCUAAUGAGAAUGGAUUUUGUUGAGAAGAUUGUACACCAACAAUUAAUUAUUCAUGGCAGAGACAUCAUUAAGAUUUCAUUUUGUUUAAAGGCCUCUAAGUGACUUAGGAAAUUAGGUUAAGCUAGAGAAGAAUUUCAAGAAAGAGACAAGGGAAAGCUUUUCGUUAUAUUGACUUUUUCUAAUAUUUUCCAGAUAGAUAUUUUGACUUGGUACAUAAAUUAUACUCUGACUAAAAAUCUCCAAUGAUUUGUCUGAGUAAGAGUCUUCACAUGGGUGGAUCAUAUACCAGUGUGGUCAGAUGGAAGCAGAUGGACAGAGAUUUGUGAAAGGAUUAGGAGGUUCAUUCCAGAAUUCUAUAAUAAUUCAAUUUGGCUUUUUGGUUAGGAAUGUAGUGAGGAGUCUCCUUGAAAUGACAAUGGGAUUUGUGCAACCUGUGACAUUUUGCACUCAAGGAUCCUUUUCCCAGUGCCCUAUGGGAUGUGAGCACCUGUUCACUUACAGUACAUGUAAGAUAAGACACUUUUAAUAAAAACUCUGGAGACCUGGUGUAGUAUAGGCCCUAUGCCUGCUUAUCUUAAAGACAAACACCAGAAACUGGUGUCACGUUGUGAGUUCAAUGUGAGAUUGAUUCAAAACAUAAAGCUAGAGAUCUAGUGUAAAUUUUCAGAGGGAUAUUGAUUACAGGAUCAAUUUCUAUGGGCAAUUAAUGCAGGGGUUUGGUUUAUGUUUGAAUUCCAAGCACCCAGUGGUAUUCAAAAAUAGCAUCCAAUUUUACAUAAAAUGUAAAAUUACAUUUUGUGUUCGAUUUGGGCACCCUGUCAUGAUUUACAAUAAAGGUUUGGGCUUUUGUUUUCUUGUUCCUUCAUUAGAAAGGUUAGAACUUGCCUUUCCUCCAUGAUCACUAUUCCAGUGUCCCGGGUGCUUGGGAUUCAAAACUAAACUAAAAUUUCUUAGUGGUUGAGAAAUGUUAAGGUUGAAAUAGUAGAUCAGGCCAUGUCUGCAUGGAGAACAUCACAGCAACUGAGAACUGCAAUAGAAGAGGCUUGGUAAAGGGAGAAUCUCUUCCCUGUUUGUGAAUUAAAUAGUCCUGUAACACCUUUAGGGUAAUAAAGAAUUAGGGUUGGCGCCCUGCACCUACACGGCUAGAGUUGGGGAGAAAAUAGACCUCCAGAUGUGGAGCCAGGAAGACCUGGGUUGAGUUUUUAGCUGUGUCCUGGGCCAACAACCACAGCAGCAGCAACACCCACCACAUGCACCGGUCUCCAUCUGCCUCAAAGAACUACACACUGUAGUAGAGGGAAAGAGUCAAUAAUCAAUAAAUGCACCAAAUAAGUAAAUUAUGUAAAUUUAUAUAAAAGAGUCAAUAAAUAGUAAGUGCAAAAAAUAAGUAAAUAAGUACAUCUAUUAUGGUAAAAAGUGAUCAUUGCUAUAGAAAAAAAUAGAGGUGUGCCUAAUAAUUUAUUUAUGAAAAUCUGCUUUAACAUUUUUCGGAAAGCUGUCUCCUGGAAAAACAAGUAGUCUCUUAACUUUAUACAUUUCCAGGACAAAAUAUUAUAACCACUGCUUAACUGAUGGUGAUAUCAAGUCAAAAUGUAUGCAGCUUUUAUACAAUGGCAGCUCUAAUUUCCAGCAGCACAGAAAUUCUCCCAGUGAUUCCCUUAUUUUAAUAUCACAGCUAACCACCUAUUUAUGUGUUUCUUUAUCUCAGCCUCUCUGUACCUCUGUGUUACGUGGAGAGACGAGAUGGCAUGUUGUUUAUGUAGCUUGAUACAUACCAUAGCCAGAAUUCCAGAACACAGUUUACAUACUUUACAGUUAAAUGUUUAGGCCUCAAGAACAGGAAUCAAAUACUUUGCUUUCAACACUGCUUCCUUCAUGAGAAGGAGAAAUCUCAUCCCUGAGGGUGGCUCCAGGGCCCUGGCCCCAGUAAAACACAAGCCCUGGAACAAAGCAGAGGCCUGGGUAGAAGGAAUUGUUUGCUCUGUUAGCUUAGCUUGAGGCCAAAUAGAGGGAAUUUGUUUUCAAGCCAGACAGGUGCACUUGAGGGUACAGAAAGGAGACUGGCAUUUGGGAUUGAGCCUCAGGAUGGGUCCAUCUUGACCUGUUUUUUUUUUUUUUUCAACUGAUUAGUCAAUCAUGGCUUGUUGCUUCUUAAGUCCUAAGAAUUUUAGAAUUCAGGCAGCCAGUAAUGGUUUACAAUAAAGACUUGGCACUUUGGGAGGCCGAGGCAGGUGGAUCACCUGAGGUCAGCAGUUUGAGACUAGCCUGGCCAAGAUGGGGAAACCUCAUCUCUACUAAAAAUAAAAAAAAUUAGCGGGG